UGUGACCUCGGGCCUCUCUACAGGGCCCACGUGAGGCCCUCAGCCCGGGCCAGGCCUCUCCCGGCCUCACCCAGGUUUCCAAAGCCGGAGCUUUGCAUGGCUCCGAGCUUGCAAGCAAGCGUUUCUCAAAAUGCAAAAUGCAAAAUGCAAAAUGCAAAAAAAAAAAAAAAAAAAAAAGAACUUGUUGAUGUUUAAGGUAUUUAUGAGGAAAUAUCAGUCUCAGGAAAGGAGAGGCUAGUUCCCAGGAAGGAACACGGGGUUCAGCGGGGCCUGCUUCACCUCAGCACAAAGGAGAGGAGGGGCCGCGGCUCUCCAGCAGCGCGGCACAAAGAGGGCUCAGAGCCGUGUUAAUGCCAGAGAAUGGUGUCCGGGGACAGCAGGCGGACAGGAACCGGCCAGGAGAGAGUGUUCACUUACUGAAUCAAUGUGUUACCAACAGUGAUGCAAUGAGAGACCAGCUGAAGGGAAUAUAACCUCACUGGGCUGGGAGGUCCUGGGGAUCAGCAUUGCCAUAUGAGCCAGUCCAGGGUGUGAAGGUGUUCAUUUUGGGGUUCAGAGGAUGUGUACUUUCUCACACUGGUUGCAGCAGAAGAGCAAGUUCAUUCACCGUUCUUUUCUGGGGGAUGGUGGCUGCUUGCUGUGCAUGCCCUUCCUAUGGACUUGGUCUGGAUGCAACUGUUGAGGUCACCAUCAUUAUCUCUAUGUGACCAUGAAGAUGAAGUGGCCACAUUCCCUGUGCCAAAGGCAGCCCAAUGACGAAAUAUCAGCCCGCUGAGGAGCUGCAUGCUGAACACUUUUGAAAAGUGGAGAUACUGCAUUUGUUACUGAGGAGUUUGAUUCAUUUUGGAUGCUUUGGGCAGUUGACUUUAUUGUGUGAUAGGUAGUUGACUUCAUUAUGCGAAUAUGCAGAAACUUUAGCAAAAGUGCAUGAAAAUUGCAGAGCAAUGCUGGAAAAAAAAAAUUAGCUACAGCGCUACAGAAGUGGUGAUUUAGGAUCUGCACUAAAACUUUCAGCUGCUGAGCAGGCUUCUGUAGUCGUAAAUAUCCUCCUUCAUAUAAAAGUUUUCCAUGUCAGAGAAAAAAAUGCUGUUGCAAGAUGUCAUCAAUAUAAAACAUCUUUAUAAAAAAAAAAAAAUCUGAGCUGGCCCCGUGUAUAAGGGGACUGCUUCUAAUAAAGUAGGGUUAGGAAACACCACUACAACAUGGUUGUUGUUCUUACAGCUUCUCACAAUGAUCCAGGCAAGACCUGAAAUCUCAUCUUCAACCAGGUCUUGUAACAAGAGGGGGAAGAAGAAGUGGCUUCCCGGCUGUGCAUUUAACCUUUGGUAAAAUGAGUUUUAGUGUUAAGCGAGGGUGUUGUCCAUUCUGAUUGUCCCAGCUGCUUUGGAUUUCCUCCCUAUAUCUCCCUAAGCUGAAAAUAUUUUUAUCUUGAGUUGUUGGAUCAUGUCUUUUAAGAAGAUUGAAGGGAAUUAAGUCUCCAGGCUCAACUCCCUCCUCUUCCAAGCAGCUGAAAAAUUUCAGUAUGUUCAGUGUUGCAGUUACUGGAAAUAGAUGAAGUCUGCAUAGGAUGAACUAGGAUCCAUAAAAAUGUUCUUCCUGCUUAUGAUGGCAGUUUGUAAUUUAAAUUCAGCUCCCAACUUAACGAUGGCAGAUAUACACAAGGUGCCAUCCAAUGCUGUCCUGCUUUAUAACUGAGUAGUUCCCUGAAUCAGAGCUGGGCACUUGAAUGAAAAUGUAGGAAUAAAGCAGAAAACUAGCGAUAUCUAAGAAAACCUCAUCGCACUCCUAGUACAUGUGAUGUCACUCAGUGAGGUUAUUCAAAAGUAAUUAAAAUGCAUAUAGUUUAUGAAAUGGAAGAUGGUGCCUACUCCUACUUGUGAGUUAUCUUUUUCCUCAAUGAAUGCUAGGAACAUAAGAAAUUAGCACAGAAAAACAUGGCUGCUAUUGAAAUAUUACAGGCAGAACAGCAGAUAUUGAUAUUGAGAUGCAGCCCCAAGGAAGAUGGAUAAAGAAACAGUGAAAGCAGACCGCAGUACAGCAAGGAAGCUGUCCUUUAGCAGGAGAGAGAACAAGAUAUACCCAAGACAGAAAACUUAUGAUAUUCAUAAGCCCUGUAUAUCCACACAGUAAACAAAUAAGUGAAGACUCAAUACAUAUUUUUAUUUUCCUGUAUAAAACACCCUUGCUACAGUUUAUGCUGAGUUUUACUGCCAGCUGUGGUACAGCAGGUGUGGUACCUUGAUAGGAUUCCAACAUCCUUCUUAGUCCUGCUGAGCUCAUCAGAGGUUCCGGUGUCUCUUGGAAGGGACCUCAAGUUCAAUUCAUAGAUUUAGACACAAGUGACCAGCAACUGCUUUGGUGCCUCUUAUACCUGGGUACCGUAUGGGGGGUAAUCACUUGGUAACAUAGACCAAAACUGCUGAAUGCAUCUGAAGUGGUAAAAGCAGAACCUCUUAAACUGUGGGUUUGUGGUGUGCAGCAGGAGGUGUGCCUCAGGCCACUGGAAGGCAUGGGCUUCCUACCUAGCAGUGAAUCUGGGCAGUAGUCAGUUUGGCUCUGGUGCUCAAACUGAACUUCAUGCAUGGAGAAUUUCAUGUCAAUAAAAUCAUAGGGUUUCUCCAACCUUUAGUCAUUAUGGGGUAACUGAAAGGCGAUUUUUGCUUUUUACUUAGCCAAGAUUGCUCAUAAAAUCUUAAAUUUUCGUUUGCUUACUUGGUGCGAUUACACAAAGCUCUGAAGGAAGAUGUGCUGUAACUAUAAUAUUGUUAAACAGCAUUUUCUGUUGGUGAGUCUAAUCUCUCCUUGAUGAGAAUAUCAAAUCAUCAUCGAUGUUACUGGGAACUGUGUGUCUUCAGAGGGCAUGCAGAUUAAUACAGAGAUGAUUCCUUGGCCGCAAACACAGUGAAGCAAACAAUAUUAAAGGAAAUGUCUAUAAAUAACUGACUUGCAGGAAGUUCUGUAAGAACUCAUCCUCUCAGAUACCCAGCUCUUUCUUGUAAUUUAAAUCAUACUAUGGAAGGAAGUUAAAUUACUCAACAGGGAAUGUGGCUUACAGAUAAGUUCUGCGAGACGGCAGAGUUAGAGAAGUAGUAAGUACAAAGUCAAUUGAAUGGCAAGCAAUUAUCUCCCAAAUUAGAGAGCUUUUUUGAACCCCCACAGCGUUUUUAUGGAAUUGCAAGUUAGACAGAUUAAGGAAUCCCCCUCCACCCACUGCUGACCUUCCUCUGGCUGAAAAUAACCUCCAAAAAAAACCAAAAAACCAAAACCACAGGGUAAUUCUAACUACCAGCUCAUAAACCUAGUUGACCUUCCGUGGUGAAAACAGAUUUGUAUAUUAACAUGUUACAGUCCUCUUCCAGAAGAAAGAGGGCUGUAAAACCAGCCCAUGUUUGAUUAGACUUAGCUGCAUCAAGAAGAAAUGGCUUUGUAAUUAUUUAGAUAUAAUGUAUUUAGAUAUUUCAGAUGUGUUUUUUUCCCCCCAGCCUAACAGCUGCAGUGGACUGAAAUGCAAAUAUCAAUCUGGUUUCUGUUGGAAUUUGUUAAUUCUUCAUGAACUUGAGGAUAAAUUACAUCUAAAAUUCAUUUCUGUAAUUCUAUAAAUCAGUUUCUAACUGGAAUGUGGUUAUUUACAUACAUGAAAAAAAUGGCCUUCUACACUCCUCAUGAACUGCGUGCAGAAAGAGCCUGAGCUCAGAGCUUUUAAUGCUUCCAGGUUUCUCUUCAGCUGGGAGGGAAUAAUGUGAUUCCAGAAGCUGGAAAGG
ensembl:lncRNA